rnacentral:rRNA from 1 species
GGGUAUGCUACCUGAUCCGAGGUCAAAAUUUCAGAAGUUGGGGGUUUAACGGCAGGGCACCGCCAGGGCCUUCCAGAACGAGAUAUAACUACUACGCUCGGGGUCCUAGCGAGCUCGCCACUAGAUUUCAGGGCCUGCUUCUCUCGAAGCAGUGCCCCAACACCAAGCCAGGCUUGAGGGUUGAAAUGACGCUCGAACAGGCAUGCCCUCCGGAAUACCAGAGGGCGCAAUGUGCGUUCAAAGAUUCGAUGAUUCACUGAAUUCUGCAAUUCACAUUACUUAUCGCAUUUCGCUGCGUUCUUCAUCGAUGCCAGAACCAAGAGAUCCGUUGUUGAAAGUUUUGAUUCAUUUAUGUUUUUUACUCAGAGAUUCACUAAGAAACAAGAGUUUGGUUGGCCGCCGGCGGGCUGCUCCCCGUCUCCGGGGGGCCUCAGAAGAGGCCGGCCUUCGCCGAGGCAACAAUAGGUAUAAGUUCACAAAGGGUUUCUGGGUGCGCCGAGGCGCGUUCCAGCAAUGAUCCCUCCGCAGGUUCCCCCUACGGAA